rnacentral:rRNA from 1 species
UGGCGGCGUGGUUAAGACAUGCAAGUCGAACGGGAGAAUUGCUAGCUUGCUAAUAAUUCUCUAGUGGCGCACGGGUGAGUAACACGUGAGUAACCUGCCCCCAAGAGUGGGAUAGCCCCGGGAAACUGGGAUUAAUACCGCAUAAAAUCGCAAGAUUAAAGCAGCAAUGCGCUUGGGGAUGGGCUCGCGUCCUAUUAGUUAGUUGGUGAGGUAACGGCUCACCAAGGCGAUGACGGGUAGCCGGUCUGAGAGGAUGUCCGGCCACACUGGAACUGAGACACGGUCCAGACACCUACGGGUGGCAGCAGUCGAGAAUCAUUCACAAUGGGGGAAACCCUGAUAGUGCGACGCCGCGUGGGGGAAUGAAGGUCUUCGGAUUGUAAACCCCUGUCAUGUGGGAGCAAAUUAAAAAGAUAGUACCACAAGAGGAAGAGACGGCUAACUCUGUGCCAGCAGCCGCGGUAAUACAGAGGUCUCAAGCGUUGUUCGGAAUCACUGGGCGUAAAGCGUGCGUAGGCGGUUUCGUAAGUCGUGUGUGAAAGGCGGGGGCUCAACCCCCGGACUGCACAUGAUACUGCGAGACUAGAGUAAUGGAGGGGGAACCGGAAUUCACGGUGUAGCA